rnacentral:rRNA from 1 species
AUGCCCGAUCCAAUCCAGCCACACCGAACCAUCCAUCUCCUCCAUCCAAUGAAGCCAACCCAUCACUGCAGUCUCCUACUCCUCCUGCCGAGCUACCACGUCCGCAGCGACGCCAUGCCCGAGCCCCGCUGCCUCCUCUGCUUCCUGAGCGCCACCGCAGGAAUAGAUGCAGGCCCCUUCCUUGUCCCCUUAUUCCGCCAAGCCACCCGAGCGCGUCGCCUCACCGACCCGACUGUCGCUCCCUUCGGCGGCCUCGCUCGUCAGCGUCCACACCACCAGAAGGAGCCUCACGACGACACCAUGGAUGGCUGCGGCCCGAGCUCGCGUCCGUCACUACAACAGAGUCACCACCGGAGCGCGAUCGCCCUUCCACCGCCGUCGAGCGCCACUGCAGGAGGCAAGCUCCACGCCAUGGCCUCCCCUGCUCGCCAUUGCCACAGCUCGCCCCGCUGUCCAGAUCAGGCCGGGAACCGCCUCCCCGCCGCCCUCUCGUCCGGACCCUGCCACCGUCAGAUCUCCGGAGCGCAACGCCAGGGACCUCCCCAUCGCGCCAAGUUCCUACGCCCGCGGCCCCCUGCCUUGACCGCCUCCUGUUCGUCAGGAGAUGAUGAGCGCCUCGAGCUUUGCCUGCCUCGUCUCCAUCCAUCGCCGGUUGCCUCCCCGACCCGCCGCUUCUCGCGCCCUGCCUCACGCCUGAGCGUCACGAGCGAGCGCGGGCUCCUGUGCCUUCCGCGUCGUCCCGACCUCCUCCAACCGUCGCCCUCUGCUUCGAGAUGCCGUCCGUGCCUCGAUGUCCUCCAAGACCGGCCGGAUCCAUCUUCUCGCGCUUGGGCCUGCCCGUCCGCUCCAUCCCGCCGCUCGCCGGAGACCCAGGCGUCCCUGUGGUCGCCGUUGACUGCGUGCGAGCUCGACCCUUGCCUUCUGUCGCGUCCUCAUUCGAGUGCUCGAGCACCGCCCCGCGUUGGCCGUUCGAGUGCCAGCAUGGACAAGUGCCGCGUCGCCCAUGCGAGCCCUACUCUGCUUCGCCGUGGGCCGCCAGAUCCGCCCCGCUGGACCUCCUCUCCGACGCUGGGCCUUAGCCCAUGGAUUCAUUUUGUUCUGGAGUUUUGA